UCAGUAACACUCAUCAGUACAGCUCUGCUAACCUCUGUGAAGUUCUAGUCUGUUCUGUGUUUCUUUGUAUAUAGAUUCCUGAACUCGUCCCCGUUUCUUUACCUGUUCCCCUGAGUCUGGCAGUGAAGCGUGGAGAGAACCUGGUCUGCGCCCGAGCCCGUUCCACCUGCGUGAGACUGGAUCUGAAUUCAGAGUGCGAAAGCAGCUCAUGCAGACAUAAACAGGUGGUGGGAAGUGACAACAUGAUGAUGUGAAGGUCGUGAACCAUAGUAUGGCUGAACACAGAGUGAUAGAGACCACAUCUGACCCCAGAUCCAUCCCCUCCCGGGCGGGAACCCUACAUACAAGAGAGAGGGACAAUGGAUAGGGAAUAUGCACUGACCUAACUAUCAUAAAGCCAGAAAAUGCACUUUCACCAAAUAUUAGAGAAAACUCCAGUUCAUUCACUUGUUAAAUUGGUGGAGUUAUAGUUGGAAUAAACAAGAUCAGGAUCCACAGAAAACUUCAAUUAAACAACUGAGGAUGCUACAUAGGAAAGCUCAAUCUGUCUUCCCUAUUGCGGAUGUGUUUUGGGGUUUGACACCUUUAAAACUGGAGUGUUAUAUAAAAAUCUGUAAUUAUUCAUUCUGAAUGAUUCUUAGACAUCACAAUAGUUUAUCUCAA